AUUGAACGCUGGCGGCAGGCCUAACACAUGCAAGUCGGACGGUAGCACAGAGGAGCUUGCUCCUCGGGUGACGAGUGGCGGACGGGUGAGUAAUGUCUGGGAAACUGCCCGAUGGAGGGGGAUAACUACUGGAAACGGUAGCUAAUACCGCAUAACGUCGCAAGACCAAAGUGGGGGACCUUCGGGCCUCACACCAUCGGAUGUGCCCAGAUGGGAUUAGCUGGUAGGCGGGGUAACGGCCCACCUAGGCGACGAUCCCUAGCUGGUCUGAGAGGAUGACCAGCCACACUGGAACUGAGACACGGUCCAGACUCCUACGGGAGGCAGCAGUGGGGAAUAUUGCACAAUGGGCGCAAGCCUGAUGCAGCCAUGCCGCGUGUAUGAAGAAGGCCUUCGGGUUGUAAAGUACUUUCAGCGGGGAGGAAGGUGCUGAGGUUAAUAAGCUCAGCAAUUGACGUUACCCGCAGAAGAAGCACCGGCUAACUCCGUGCCAGCAGCCGCCGCAG
rnacentral:rRNA from 1 species